CUUAAAGGCUGACGUCUCGAAGCCCAGGUUUCGGGGUGAGCUGGAGAGGAUGAAGCCGAAGUCGAUGUGGAUGAUGUGACCUUCUGCGUCCAGAAGGAUGUUCCCGUUGUGUCUGAGGAAGGGAGGAGGAGGAGGCGACAUGACAUUUUUGGGGAUAAAUUAAAAAAUGCUUUCAUAUUUCACCUUUUAAAACUCAGAACAACAAAUUCCACUUAUUGGAAGUUCAUGCUGUUAGAAAUCCCCGAAGCACACUUAAUAAAAGGAGCUCUGGAUGUCCUAAAACUCACUCUGAGGACCAGGCUGGCCUUGAACUCACAGAGAUCUGCUUGCCUCCGCCUCCGGACUCCUGGGAUUAAAGGCGUGCGACACUGCCACUUGGUGAGUGUGUGUGAUUUUAUAACAAGUUGGAGCCUAGGCCUACAGCUGAUCAACACCAACAACUUUCUUUUCUUUAUAGCCUCCAUCUUGUGAGAUGAUUCCCAGUAUUCUUUUCUUUUCUUUUUUAAAAAAUUCCCUAUGUAGCUAGGAUGAUCUUGAACUUCCUGCCUGUACCUCCCAGUGUUAAUGUGUUAAAUGAGAGAUCAAACCCAGAGCAUCAUGCAUGCUAAGCAGAGUAUUCUUCAACCUGAGCUACAACACCAACUCACAUCCACUCUUUUUUAAUAGGAAUAGUUCACCAGGGGCUGGAGAGAUGGCUCAGGGGUUAAGAGCACUGGUUGUUCUUCCAGAGGACCCAGUUCAAUUCCCAGCACCCACAGAGUGGUUACCAACCAUCUGUAACUCUGUUCUCAAGGGACAGACGCUGUCUGGCUCUGCUGGGCACACUGCAGCUGGAGCACAGACACACAUGCAGGUAAACCUCGUCCAUCGGGGAAAACGGUUAGCAACUUCCUGCCAUACCAGAGGGACAGGCUUUUAUCCAACACUUUCUUUUGGUAGUGUUAUUUAUUAUCUGUUUUAUUAUUUUUACAUAUCAGUUUCUAAAAUGAAAUUCCUGAGAUCUAACUAGUGCUAGCUUCCCUGUUCCUCACUUACUCAAUCCUGUAGCUGAGCCCUGGGCUUCAAAAUCCUGGGUUCAAAAUCCCGAAGCUCAGGACAGUCUAAAGCUUGCCAUCAAGAUCCUUAUGGUUACACUCUUACCGCUCUCUCUCACACACACAGCCCUUCUUGCUUGGUAGGCCUGGCAGGGUGGAAUGACCAUGGGCUCCCAAAGCUGCUACUGACCCUUGGCUUCCUCAUGAGGGAGCACUCACUUCACACGGUUUUCACUUACUAUAGUGAUGCCAUGGUCAUAGGUGGUAUACAGUCACUAAAGAGAUAAUGCUAGAUUCCGAGAAGCUGCUUGCCUGACUAAUGUUAAUGGGUUGCCAUGUCACUGGAAGCCCUGGAAGCAGAGGCUGUCACAUUUCUAAAAUUAAUUUUUUUAGUGUUCCCAUGUGUGUAUGGUUGUAUGUGUGCACAUGCUCCAGAACAUGUCAGGGUGCACGUGUGGAGGCUAGGUGACAGCUCUGGAGUUGGUUCCAGUGACUGAGCAACAGCUUCAACCACUAAGCCAACCUGCCAGGGAGAGCUGCAGCCAACAGGAACAUUCAGGCCCCAGACCCCAAACCGCCUGCCUGGAGAUACUAAGACUGCAGAGCACAGGCAGUGCCGUUAUCAAGGCUUCACCUAUGUGAAGACGGGCUUCAUGAAAGUCAUCUGAGAGUGACAGAAUGACAGUCUCUGCAGAACAAAAGAUGCGUAAGACUGUGGAAACCAGGGACUGGGGAGAUGACUCACUGUUAAGGGCACUGGGCUCCUCCAGAGGAGGAGUUACUUUUUAGCACUCAUGAAGGCUUACAGCUACCUGUAACUCCAGUCCCAGAGGAUCCCAUGCUCUCCUAUGGCCUCCACUGGCACUAGGCAUACACAGACAUGCAGGAAAAACACCCAUGCACAUAAAAAACAGAAGUUUGAGAAAUCAGGUUGGAAUGAGAAGAGAGGAAAGCUUGUGACUGGGGAUUUCAAGUUUAUCUCCAUGGUCUCCCUCAUCCUUUCCUUUGUGUUUUGAGUCACUGACUACCUUUGUGCCAGGCUCCAUUAUCUUCUGCUUUCUUGUUAAGGAUGUAGUCACACUAACCUUCAAUUCACCCACAGCACCAUAUGGCAUCUACAGAUCAGAACAUAUCAUUCCUAUCCUGCAAAAUAAAAUUCUUGCUGAUUGUGGUAGCAAAGGCCUUUAAUCCCAACACUCAGGAGGCAGAGGCAGGAAGAUCUCUGUGAGCUCAAGACCAGCUUGGUUUACAUAUCAAGUUCCAGGACAGUCAGGGAUACAUAAAAUGACCCUUUCUCAAAAAACAAAAACAAAACCCCCAAAACUCUUCAGUCUCAUAAUGAAGGACUGGUGUCACUGCCUGCUCCCCGAGGUUUGAUCCCAAUGAAACGUUUCCUCAUCUUUCCUCCACAGCUCUAGCUGCCCUUGUUCUCCCUCACCCUUUUUCUGCUCAUUCAAGUCUUCCCUACGUCCUCUGUUUCCGCCCUCAUCUCCGCCAGCACUCAUCAUUUGGCUUAGUGUCACACAAACAAAUCUUUCCUAAAAAGACCUUGUUUCACCAACUGAGGAACUACAUGUGAAGGGACAGAGAAGACCCUUGUGAAAGAUUAGGAUGAAGGGCACAAGCCACUUACCUGUCCUUGACUUGCAGAAGGUAGCAGACCAAACAGUAGCCAGCACAACUUUGCACAAAGUUGCGCUGGGCACUGAGGAAUGCCUCAGUGGUAUAACUGCCAUGUUCCUGUAGGAAGUAAUCGAGCAAGGAGAGCUGUGACUGUUUCUUCACCUGGUGGAUGGACACAGCGUUGACUACUGGUUCAAUCAUGCCGCUGUCUGCUGAGAUCACAAGAAUCUUAUAUGGCUUGAUCCAGAGAGGCACCCGCUCCUGCUCCCAGAUGGACUGUGAAGAGACACAAAGGAUCCAGAGUGGCUCAUCUAUCUCCAGAGAAUAAUAAAAUUUCUUUCCCCUCAACCUCUCCCUUGGUAUCUUGAAGAGCAUUAAGCAAGACUCACUGACCUACUAAGAACCAGGAAGUUUUUUGAGACAGGGACUCAUAUAGCCCAGGCUAGACUUGACUUCCUGAUCCCCAUCUCUACACAUUCUAGGAUUACAGGUGUAUACAACCACAAACAACAGAACCAGGGAGUCUGAAAAGGAAGGACAGGGCCUGGCAAAGGGGAGAAACUAUACAUAGAGGUUAACGUAAGUUUGAACAACAACAACAACAAAAUUGGAGUUUUAGGGGCAGAGAAAGCAUCUCUAGAAAAUGAAAAUAUGGAGCUGGAGAGAUGGCUCAGUGGUUGAGAGCACUGCCUGCUCUUCCAGAGGACCUGGGUUCAAUUCCCAGCACCCACAUGGCAGCUCACACCUGUCUGUAACUCCAGUUCCAGAGCUUCUAACACCCCCACACAGCCAUGCAUGCAGGCAAAAUGCCAGUGCACAUAA